AACGAACGCUGGCGGCAGGCUUAACACAUGCAAGUCGAGCGCCCCGCAAGGGGAGCGGCAGACGGGUGAGUAACACGUGAGAAUCUACCCAUCACUACGGAACAACUCCGGGAAACUGGAGCUAAUACCGUAUACGUCCUUCGGGAGAAAGAUUUAUCGGUGAUGGAUGAGCCCGCGUUGGAUUAGCUAGUUGGUGGGGUAAAGGCCUACCAAGGCGACGAUCCAUAGCUGGUCUGAGAGGAUGAUCAGCCACACUGGGACUGAGACACGGCCCAGACUCCUACGGGAGGCAGCAGUGGGGAAUAUUGGACAAUGGGCGCAAGCCUGAUCCAGCCAUGCCGCGUGAGUGAUGUAGGCCCUAGGGUUGUAAAGCUCUUUCACCGGUGAAGAUAAUGACGGUAACCGGAGAAGAAGCCCCGGCUAACUUCGUGCCAGCCGCCGCCGUAAAAC
rnacentral:rRNA from 1 species